GUCUUCGUGGCUCAGUCGGUAGAGCGUUGGUCUCAUAUUACUAUCAAUAUGACUCCGCCAAAGGCAGAGAUAUCCAAAGGUCGAGAGUUCGAGCCUCUCCGAGGACA